GUGCUCGCUUCAGCAGCACAUAUACCAAAAUUGGAAUGAUAUAGAGAAGAUUAGCAUGGGCUCUGUGCAAGGAUGACAUGCAAAUUCGUGAAGUGUUCCAUAAAAAA